rnacentral:misc_RNA from 1 species
AAGUCGUAACAAGGUAACCGUAGGUGAACCUGCGGUUGGAUCAUUAAUAAAUUCUAGAGCAGUCGCUGAUUGAGCAAUCAUGAAGCGUCUGUUUCUUAACAAUUUGUGAAUCGUUUAUUGUCUCUUGUGGAUCGAUGGCAGUGUCGCCUUAAAAACGCACACAGUCUCUCCACAUGUGAAUCUUAACAUUGUAAUACAACCAUUUGUCUUGAAACUUUAAACUUAAAAAUUUAAAAACAACUUUUGACAACGGAUCUCUUGGCUCUC